rnacentral:rRNA from 1 species
AUUGAACGCUGGCGGCAGGCCUAACACAUGCAAGUCGAGCGGAGCGGCGGACGGGUGAGUAAUGCCUAGGAAUCUGCCUGGUAGUGGGGGAUAACGUCCGGAAACGGGCGCUAAUACCGCAUACUAUCAGAUGAGCCUAGGUCGGUUUAGCUAGUUGGUGGGGUAAAGGCCUACCAAGGCGACGAUCCGUAACUGGUCUGAGAGGAUGAUCAGUCACACGGGAACGGGGAAACGGCCAGAACUCCUACGGGAGGCAGCAGUGGGGAAGAUUGGAAAAUGGGCGAAAGCCUGAUCCAGCAAUGCGGCGGGUGGGAAGAAGGUCUUCGGAUUGUAAAGCACUUUAAGUUGGGAGGCGUUACCAACAGAAUAAGCACCGGCUAACUUCGUGCCAGCAGCCGCGGUAAUAC